CCAAGGAGUCUAACAUGUGCGCGAGUCAUUGGGAUUUGUUAAGCCUAAAGGCGAAAUGAAAGUGAAGGUCGUCCUUAGCGUCGACCGAGGGAGGAUGGUUCGCGUCGCGAUGCGAGCCCGCACUCCCGGGGCGUCUCGUGCUCAUUGCGAGCAGAGGCGCACCUAGAGCGUACACGUUGGGACCCGAAAGAUGGUGAACUAUGCCUGGUCAGGACGAAGUCAGGGGAAACCCUGAUGGAGGUCCGUAGCGAUUCUGACGUGCAAAUCGAUCGUCGGAACUGGGUAUAGGGGCGAAAGACUAAUCGAACCAUC
rnacentral:rRNA from 1 species